rnacentral:lncRNA from 1 species
GACGCUCGUCAUGAUGCGGUGCGCCUUUGGCAACCCUUGGGGAGCCCAGCACUUCAUGAUUAGUGGUGAUAGCGGACCACCUAUAAUUUGCUACCUUGGUGCAAUAAGUGAAAACCUUGAUGGAGGCCAUUUUUGGCCUCUAGCAGACUUAGCAGCAGCAGCAGCAGCAACGGUCGGAGGAUCCGAUGCCACAAGAUAUACCCUCCUAGCACAGUCGCUGGCCCUAUUCUCCAACCCGCCACUCAACUCGACAC